GUAUCCUACGGGGGGCAGCAGUGGGGGAUAUUGGACAAUGGGGGAAACCCUGAUCCAGCGAUGCCGCGUGAGGGAAGAAGGUUUUCGGAUUGUAAACCUCUGUGGAGGGGGACGAUAAUGACGGUACCCCUUUAGGAAGCCACGGCUAACUACGUGCCAGCAGCCGCGGUAAUACGUAGGGGGCAAGCGUUAUCCGGAUUUACUGGGUGUAAAGGGAGCGUAGACGGUUGUGCAAGUCAGAAGUGAAAGCCCGGGGCUCAACUCCGGGACUGCUUUUGAAACUGUGAAACUGGAGUGCAGGAGAG
rnacentral:rRNA from 1 species